CCAGCCUUGGGCCUGAUGAGAGCUUGGCCCAGAGCCCCCACGUUCAUCAUUCACAAUGAUGCCUCAGAAACUCUCCCAGAGCCCCUUCACCCUCCAACAGAUGUCACCCCGGAGCCAGCCGUGGAAGAUGUGCAGGAUGAACACAGCAACACCGGCCCCAGGUCCCUCAGCGGGGUCAUCCUGUCAGCGCUGGGGCCUAAGAACUCCUGGACUCGCUGCACUCCUACUGCUUCUGGUCCCGGGGGAACAGGAGCACGGGUGCCGCCUGCAGGAGCAGGUGGAGAAGGACAGCGAGCUGAAGAGGGGCAGCUGCCGACAGCCAGGUGCACACGCUGCAGGAGGAGCUGGACGAGCUGAAGGGAGGGGCUCCCUAACUGAGCAGCCUGCUGCCCCCAGCCGAGUUUGGUGGCAGCAGUGGGAUCCAAAGGAGACGCCUGAUGGCUUCGAGGAUGAGAAACAGUCAUUGGUACCAGCAAAACCUUUGAGUUCUCCAUCUUUUUCACUGUUUCUGAGGGCUGUGGGAGUUCGAGAUCCUGAAGAACUUCUUCUCGUCCUGCACUGUCAACUCUGCUCUGCAGAAAACCUUCACAAGCCACCUGAAGAACACACGGGGGAAGUUUCCCGGGGAAUGGGAUCAACCUUGAGAAGAGUACUGAGGAGCAGCUGUGGCACUCCCUGCAGGGGAGAGGAAGGAGGUGGAAAUCAGAGACCUUCUGGGCAGAACAGUCCUUGGCUUCACCCGCUGUAUCUUACAUUGAGUGGAAGAGUUUGAUACCAGAGAAGUGGGAGACCCAUCCAAUUGGCGGGUGGGUUGAGGGGAGGAUGGCAUCAAGGAAAUCUUCCUGGAGGAGGGGCUGAUUAUUCCCAUUCUGAGAACUGGUAGAUCCUGGAUGGAACUGGAGUGAAGGAUGGUUUCCAGGACUGGUCCCCUGCCCCACUCCUCACCUCCAACAAGACCCCUGCAGCAUCCCCCACCCAGGCCCUGUCUGCAUCCUCUCCUUCCCUCUGGUCCCAGGAAUACCGAGUCAUGAGGGAGAUCCUGCUGCUCCAGGAGGCUGCAAAGAAUUACAAGCUAGAGCCCGAGGGAGCGAUUUGGGGCCUCGUUCCAGGACAUGGAGUUGCUCAACGAGAAUGAGAGGUGAGGCCGGGCAGGAGUUGGGUGAGGGCAGGGGUGGACUCUCCCUGUUGGCCAGUCCAGAGAGCCUGUCUCCAUGGUGCCCCACUCAUCCCCCGGCCUGAUUACAUGGUGAUCUCUGGGACACCCAGACUCCAGCUGCUGGGCAGGCAGUGGGGGGACCCCUGAGGUGUGGUUCCUGGUAGGCUCACAGGUGCCUCUCUGUCCUGUAGCUACACCUUGUCCUGCCAGCCAGAGCGCUAGACCUAGUUGGCCUGCAGAGUACGCAAGGCCAAGAAGAACCGGCCAUCAUCAAGGUCAGGGGGAGACUGAGAUCUCAAAAUUAUCAAGAAGCUGAAGCUCCCCAACUCCCGCUUCCUGGCGCCGAAUCCACCAUUCAUCACAGGGACAGACAAACAGAGGACACCUGCAGCUCCCCUAACUCAGCUAAACGCAGGCUGAUGGGAGGACGCCGAACUGCAAAGCCGCAGCUCCCCUCCCCCACCUAAAACCUUGUAAACUGUAAUCGUUAAUUGGCAGCAGUUGCCGUCCACACCCCAAGGCCAAAUUUCUGGUGAUGAGAGAAGAUUGGUUGAUGGAGCCCUAGAUCUCCCGUUGUAGAUAGAGAUGACAGCCGGCUUGGCGCCAGAAGACUGGGAUCACUCCUCCAACAAAUAAUCAGUCACCAAGGAUAUAUUAUUUCCCACAGACUUUCCUUUAAAAGCCUCAACUCCUAAUGCCUCAGGAGGACUGUGGAUUUUGGGGCAUGUGCCCACUACAGCCUCAUUUUGCUGGCAAAAUUAAACCACUUUUCUUUUCCUCGG